UACGUAGGGGGCAAGCGUUGUCCGGAUUCAUUGGGCGUAAAGAGCUCGUAGGCGGUUCAGUAAGUCGGGUGUGAAAUCUCCGUGCUCAACACGGAGCGGCCACCUGAUACUGCUGUGACUCGAGUCCGGUAGGGGAGUGUGGAAUUCCCGGUGUAGCGGUGAAAUGCGCAGAUAUCGGGAGGAACACCGAUGGCGAAGGCAGGUCUCUGGGCAUUAACUGACGCUGAGGAGCGAAAGCAUGGGGAGCGAACAGG
rnacentral:rRNA from 1 species